UUUCAGCACCACUGCAGGAACUGUGGUGACGUCUUCUGUGACAAGUGUACUCAAGGCAGGAUUGCUCUCACUGCUGAGGAGAAUGCUCCCCAAGUCCGUGUUUGUGACCGGUGCAUGGCAGAAGUGUCACAAAGGUUGAGUAAUGCCAAGGAAUCCGCUAGCAGGAACGCGAACGCGCAGAGCCAUGAGGACCUCGCUAGGAAGUUACAGGUGG